rnacentral:lncRNA from 1 species
GGCUUUCAAAAUGAGAAUCCACUGAGGUUGCCUCCUUGAUUCCUCAACUCUGUGCAACUCUUGUCUGCUCCAGCUAUCAGGCCAUCAGACUGCACUCCAGGAGAAGAAAGAGAAAAGAAUGCACCAUGGUUGUUGCAAAGCUCCAUUGAAAACAAGGAAGACUGUCAAAGAGGGGCAUUCUCAAGGUCCAGUAGAGGCCUGACCACAAUCUACAGGACAAGGACAAUCAAACAGCAGCCCAAGACAGAGUUCCGAGUUCCACGCUUAAUCAAUCAGGAUGUUGUUACCAUUCAGGCUAAUGGCAAAAGCACCCAACUCUGUGCUCCAAGACCGGAGUUAGAGUCCUCGCACCCCAUUGAUGAGUAUGUAACCUCGUGUAACUUACCUGAAGGUACAGAGCUGAGGCCUCUCCUUCAUAAGACGGAAAUAAUCACACCUGCUCUCACAAUCUUCCCGGAGGCAUGUGGUGAGGUGCAACUGAGAUAUUAUACACAAGUCUUUGUAAAGCAGAGAGCCUCAUAAAUUGUAAGGUAUUAUUAUUGGCACUCUCUAGGAAUCAGUGUGCUUAAACCUUAGAGUAUAUUAAAAUCACAUGACUUGCUGGCUUAAAAGGAUGGUUUUUAGGCCCUACACACAAUCUGGUUAAGGAGAUGCUGGGUGGAGCUCAGAGAUAAAGAUUUUCAUCACUCAGUCACCACCACCAUCACCACCACCACCACCUCCACCCUUUCCCCUGCCGUGUGAUUUGCAUGUGAAUGGUCCAGGGAUGACACUUGAAGAAGUGUUGAUGUGAGGGUGAGACCAAGCAUUUCAGAAGAACUUCAGAAACGGCCCUAAAGAAAAAUAAAUGAGAUCCUGACAGUUUUGGAUUAAGUACCCAAUAUCUAAUGGCUUUAAGUGAUAAGCUUAAAUAAGCCACUGAACUGAGGACCUGUUGGAAGACAUUACCCUAAUGAACUUACUAAUGAAAAAAGAGAUUUAUUGUAGAAUUGCUUUUAGAGUUGGUUGGAAAUAAUGGAAAAGCCCUUUUCCUUUCCACUGUACCUAGCUCCCCCUAACCCUAUUUCAGGUCAGUGUUUCUGGCUUCACUCCUUCUCUGAUGUGAUUUCUGUACUGAAUGAAUGCCUUCCUUCUGGUUGUUCCUUUCCAUUUUGGGGUGACUAAUGGAGUCCUGUCAUUGUAAUGAGGCUGAGUACCGAGCCAUGUGGGCAUGCCACAAGCCAGAUGGAUGGGGAGGAAUCAAAGCUUCAGAGAUUCUGGGAACCACUGGUGCAUCCAAGAGGGGAAGUAAUAGAGCUGUUGUCUCUCAGUAGCCACAAAAUCAAAUGAUAACUAUUUUGUCGCUUGGAAAAGAUUGCACGGAGCUAGCCCUCAGCUAAACUCUUAAGUCACUGAAAUUGACUCUGAUAUUCCUCCACUAUCUCCACUUCCACGUCAUCUCCCCCUCCUCUCUUGGCCAGGGACUCAGGAACCCCAUUUUGAUAUCCUACCCUGCCCUCUCUGAUUAGUCAGAACCCAGGAACUUUUUCUUUUUCUAUGACAACACCCAACUGCCCACUGGCCCAGUGUCCCUGGUGUUAGAGGAGGUGGUGAGCAUUCUAAUUAACCUGAUCAACCUAUUUGUCCUGAGAUUCGGUGUGUCUCCUCCAAGGUUAAUGGGGACUUUCUGAAAAGAUGUUUUAAUCCCAAAGAAUAUGGAUUCUAGGAAUUACAGGCCUUGGAGGAGGGAGGCUCUUGGGCAGCUAGAGGAGAAAUUCUCAGGCAGCCCUCCCUGGGUCACACCACCUGGAGAGGAGGUAAUACUGACAGCUCUGCCCAUUUCCAAGGUGUUUAUCUGGGGACUUCAUGGAUCCAUUCGGACUCACCAGUAAAAUGACUCCCUCUAGCCUCUGGAGGAAAAUUUCCUGAAAUGGGAGAGCCACAUUAUUUCAUUGAAUCCUCUUAGCAAACACACAGGAAAGUGCUAUCCUGCUGCUUAUACAGUGAACCACUGGGGGCUCUUCAAAGAUGGUACAAACUGAAGGUUAAAUUCAUUGAUGCCAAGAAUGGACUCUUCUGACCCUAAAUUAGUAUGUUAUCCCAAAUUAAAAAAGAAAAAGAUACUCUACCUCCACCAGUGGACAAUUAGUAUAAGCCCAACUCCCAUUGCCACAGGGAUUGGUUCUGGCUGAAACUAAGCUAAUCAGUUCAUGACAUCCCCUUGGCUGCAUUUGACCUUAUUCAGGUCAAUGAAAAGCAAGAAGAUGUCAGAGGGUUUCUGGGAAAGGAACUUCAUUGUUUUGACAAGAGUGUCUUUGGAUGUCAUUCUUUCUCUCUCUGAAAAUUGAUAAGGAAGCAUAUAUUCAUCUUUUUGUUAGCAGUCAUCUUGCCCCAUGAAAGAGAGCCAGCCUUAGGAUGAAACUGACACCAAAGGCAAAACAAAGAUCUGGAACAAAACUGAUUCCUUGAUAUUAUCAUUGAGCGGCUAAAUCAAACUAACACUGAAGCCUUCCCUACCUCCGGACUGCCAGCUAUGUAAAUAAAUGAGUUAGGAUUAGGUUCAGUGGCAUGUAACUGAAAACUCCAAAUACCAGUGCUUAAACAAGCUAAAGGUUUAUUUCUUUCUCAGGUUAAAAAAAAAAAAAAAAAAAAAAAAUGGUCCA